AGCAGCCGCGGUAAUUCCAGCUCCAAUAGCGUAUAUUAAAGUUGUUGCAGUUAAAAAGCUCGUAGUUGAAUUUCGGGAUCAAUGCGUCGGUCGUGCCUUCGGUACGUACUAGCGUCAUUGAUUCCUCCCUUCUGAAGAACCGUGAUGUCAUUAAUUUGGUGUUACGGGGAAUCAGGACUGUUACCUUGAAAAAAUUAGAGUGUUUAAAGCAGGCUAACGCUUGAAUACAUUAGCAUGGAAUAAUGAAAUAGGACGUUCGAACCUAUUUUGUUGGUUUCUAGGAUCGACGUAAUGAUUAAUAGGGAUAGUUGGGGGCAUUAGUAUUCAAUUGUCAGAGGUGAAAUUCUUGGAUUUAUUGAAGACUGACUACUGCGAAAGCAUUUGCCAAGGAUGUUUUCAUUAAUCAAGAACGAAAGCUAGGGGAUCGAAGACGAUCAGAUACCGUCGUAG
rnacentral:rRNA from 1 species